rnacentral:lncRNA from 1 species
GAAUUAUAUAUAUAAGAUCUCUUUCUUUCCUUCUUUCUUUCGAUCGGAAAGCAAAAAACUGAAAAUGGAAGGAGGGAAGAAGGGGAAGGGAAAAAGACGAAGGGGAGAGUGAGGUGAGGUGGGAAUAAAUUAAUAGUAGGGGAAUAAAUUGAGGAGGGGAAUUGGGAGGGUGUAGCCUGGCACGUUAUUGCUGUCCCGUGGUCUGUGGGGAA